rnacentral:rRNA from 1 species
AGAGUUUGAUCAUGGCUCAGAUUGAACGCUGGCGGCAGGCCUAACACAUGCAAGUCGAACGGUAACAGGAAACAGCUUGCUGUUUCGCUGACGAGUGGCGGACGGGGGAGUAAUGUCUGGGAAACUGCCUGAUGGAGGGGGAUAACUACUGGAAACGGUAGCUAAUACCGCAUAACGUCGCAAGACCAAAGAGGGGGACCUUCGGGCCUCUUGCCAUCGGAUGUGCCCAGAUGGGAUUAGCUAGUAGGUGGGGUAACGGCUCACCUAGGCGACGAUCCCUAGCUGGUCUGAGAGGAUGACCAGCCACACUGGAACUGAGACACGGUCCAGACUCCUACGGGAGGCAGCAGUGGGGAAUAUUGCACAAUGGGCGCAAGCCUGAUGCAGCCAUGCCGCGUGUAUGAAGAAGGCCUUCGGGUUGUAAAGUACUUUCAGCGGGGAGGAAGGGAGUAAAGUUAAUACCUUUACUCAUUGACGUUACCCGCAGAAGAAGCACCGGCUAACUCCGUGCCAGCAGCCGCGGUAAUACGGAGGGUGCAAGCGUUAAUCGGAAUUACUGGGCGUAAAGCGCACGCAGGCGGUUUGUUAAGUCAGAUGUGAAAUCCCCGGGCUCAACCUGGGAACUGCAUCUGAUACUGGCAAGCUUGAGUCUCGUAGAGGGGGGUAGAAUUCCAGGUGUAGCGGUGAAAUGCGUAGAGAUCUGGAGGAAUACCGGUGGCGAAGGCGGCCCCCUGGACGAAGACUGACGCUCAGGUGCGAAAGCGUGGGGAGCAAACAGGAUUAGAUACCCUGGUAGUCCACGCCGUAAACGAUGUCGACUUGGAGGUUGUGCCCUUGAGGCGUGGCUUCCGGAGCUAACGCGUUAAGUCGACCGCCUGGGGAGUACGGCCGCAAGGUUAAAACUCAAAUGAAUUGACGGGGGCCCGCACAAGCGGUGGAGCAUGUGGUUUAAUUCGAUGCAACGCGAAGAACCUUACCUGGUCUUGACAUCCACAGAACUUUCCAGAGAUGGAUUGGUGCCUUCGGGAACUGUGAGACAGGUGCUGCAUGGCUGUCGUCAGCUCGUGUUGUGAAAUGUUGGGUUAAGUCCCGCAACGAGCGCAACCCUUAUCCUUUGUUGCCAGCGGUCCGGCCGGGAACUCAAAGGAGACUGCCAGUGAUAAACUGGAGGAAGGUGGGGAUGACGUCAAGUCAUCAUGGCCCUUACGACCAGGGCUACACACGUGCUACAAUGGCGCAUACAAAGAGAAGCGACCUCGCGAGAGCAAGCGGACCUCAUAAAGUGCGUCGUAGUCCGGAUUGGAGUCUGCAACUCGACUCCAUGAAGUCGGAAUCGCUAGUAAUCGUGGAUCAGAAUGCCACGGUGAAUACGUUCCCGGGCCUUGUACACACCGCCCGUCACACCAUGGGAGUGGGUUGCAAAAGAAGUAGGUAGCUUAACCUUCGGGAGGGCGCUUACCACUUUGUGAUUCAUGACUGGGGUGAAGUCGUAACAAGGUAACCGUAGGGGAACCUGCGGUUG